GACCGGGAAUCGAACCAUGACCUCCUGGUUCACAGGUGGACGCUCAGCCCCUGAGGCACGCCGGUGGGGCUGAAACCACCUUUUCAUCCAUUUUUCUGCAGGCUGGCUGGCUGGCUGCUGGUUGGGGUGGCUGUGGUCUGUGCUGGCGAUCGCUCCCGGUUCCCAGUCGGACAUCUUGGUGGCUGAGCACGUUUGAGACCCAGGAACUGGAAGCGAAAUGUCCGGUUCGCUGGCGCGAGGCUGGUGUGUGUUCUGAGGCCUUCAUGUUGCGCAAGAGCCUUUAGAGGAACGUUUAGUGGGGCACAGGUCACAGCGAGCCCAGCGUUCCAGCCUUGCUGUCUGACCUUCCACUGCUGCCUGGAGCCAAGUCCACUCGUUGGUGAACACCCAGCACUGGGCCUCCUAGUGGCCGCGUGCCGAGGGGACCUCCCCUGCCAGGUCCCAGAGCAGCCCCGCCCACCCUGGACCCAGACCCCCAGGC